GACGUAGGGGGCGAGCGUUAUUCGGAAUUAUUGGGCGUAAAGGGUGCGUAGGCGGUUUGGUAAGUCUUAUGUGAAAUCUACAGGCUCAACUUGUAGUCUGCAUGAGAAACUGCCGGGCUUGAGUAUGGGAGAGGUGAGUGGAAUUCCUGGUGUAGCGGUGAAAUGCGUAGAUAUCAGGAGGAACACCUGUGGCGAAAGCGGCUCACUGGACCAUAACUGACGCUGAUGCACGAAAGCUAGGGGAGCAAACAGG
rnacentral:rRNA from 1 species